UUUUGAGUUUCUAAGGAUCAUGUCUGCGAGUCAGGAUUCCCGAUCCAGAGACAAUGGCCCUGAUGGGAUGGAGCCCGAAGGCGUCAUUGAGAAUAACUGGAAUGAGAUUGUUGACAGCUUUGAUGACAUGAACCUCUCGGAGUCCCUUCUCCGUGGCAUCUACGCCUAUGGUUUUGAGAAGCCUUCUGCCAUCCAGCAGCAAGCCAUUCUACCUUGUAUCAAGGGUAAUGAUGUGAUCGCUCAAGCCGAAUCUGGGACUGGGAAAACAGCCACAUUUGCCAUAUCGAUUCUGCAGCAGAUUGAAUUAGAUCUAAAGGCCACCCAGGCCUUGGUCCUAGCACCCACUCGAGAAUUGGCUCAGCAGAUACAGAAGGUGGUCAUGGCACUAGGAGACUACAUGGGCACCUCCUGUCACGCCUGUAUUGGGGGCACCAAUGUUCGUGCUGAGGUGCAGAAACUGCAGAUGGAAGCUCCCCAUAUCAUCGUGGGAACCCCUGGCCGUGUGUUCGAUAUGCUUAACCGGAGAUACCUGUCUCUCAAAUACAUCAAAAUGUUUGUACUGGACGAAGCUGAUGAAAUGUUAAGCCGUGGAUUCAAGGACCAGAUCUAUGACAUAUUCCAAAAGCUCAACAGCAACACCCAGGUAGUUUUGCUGUCAGCUCCAAUGCCUUCUGAUGUGCUUGAGGUGACCAAGAAGUUCAUGAGGGACCCCAUUCGAAUUCUUGUCAAGAAGGAAGAGCUGAUCUUGGAGGGUAUCCGCCAAUUCUACAUCAAUUUGGAACUAGAGGAAUGGAAGCUGGACACACUGUGUGACUUGUAUGAAACCCUGACCAUCACCCAGGCAGUCAUCUUCAUCAACACCCGAAGGAAGGUGGACUGGCUCACUGAGAAGAUGCAUGCUCGAGAUUUCACUGUCUCUGCCAUGCAUGGAGAUAUGGACCAAAAGGAACAAGAUGUGAUCAUGAGGGAGUUUCGAUCUGGCUCUAGCGGAGUUUUGAUUACCACAGACCUGCUGGCCAGAGGCAUCAAUGUGCAGCAGGUUUCUUUAGUCAUCAACUAUGACCUUCCCACCAACAGGGAAAACUAUAUCCACAGAAUCGGUCGAGGUGGACAGUUUGGCCGUAAGGGUGUGGCUAUUAACAUGGUGACAGAAGAAGACAAACAGACUCUUCGAGACAUAGAGAACUUCUACAACACCUCCAUUGAGGAAAUGCCCCUCAAUGUUGCUGACCUCAUCUGAGGGGCUGUCCUGCCACCUAGCCCCAGCCUGAGCUCAGUCUUGGGGGGCUGAGGAGUAGCAGGAGGGGGGAGGGAAGGGAGCCAAGGGAUGGACAUCUUGUCAUUUUUUUUUUCUUUGAAUAAAUGUCACUUUUUGAGGCAAAAAAAA